UGGGGAAUAUUGCACAAUGGGCGCAAGCCUGAUGCAGCCAUACCGCGUGUAUGAAGAAGGCCUUCGGGUUGUAAAGUACUUUCAGCGAGGAGGAAGGCGUUGUGGUUAAUAACCGCAACGAUUGACGUUACUCGCAGAAGAAGCACCGGCUAACUCCGUGCCAGCAGCCGCGGUAAUACGGAGGGUGCAAGCGUUAAUCGGAAUUACUGGGCGUAAAGCGCACGCAGGCGGUCUGUCAAGUCGGAUGUGAAAUCCCCGGGCUCAACCUGGGAACUGCAUCCGAAACUGGCAGGCUAGAGUCGUGUAGAGGGGGGUAGAAUUCCAGGUGUAGCGGUGAAAUGCGUAGAGAUCUGGAGGAAUACCGGUGGCGAAGGCGGCCCCCUGGACAAAGACUGACGCUCAGGUGCGAAAGCGUGGGGAGCAAACA
rnacentral:rRNA from 1 species